GUGUAGCUCAGUGGUAGAGCACUUGCUUAGCAAGCAUGAAACCCUGGGUUCAAUCCCUAGCAC
rnacentral:tRNA from 1 species